rnacentral:tRNA from 1 species
GAAUUGUGGCUCAGUGGUAGAGUGCUUUCCUAGCAAGUGUGAGGCACUGGGUUUGAUUCUCAGCACCA